GAAGCACUGUAACUUCUGCCUUGUUCUCACUCUCUCUCUCUCUCUCUCUCUUGUAUUGGUCACUCUGCGGGAAGCUAGUUGCUAAGUCAUUGGGACACACAAUGGAGAGGUCCAUAUGGAAAGACAGAGGCCUCCCACCAACAGCUUGUAAUGUUUACUAAAAUCUCUCCUCAACACCAGACGAAGCACGAGACCAGGAUGUUCUGGGCUGCUUGGAGAAUGUUCCCACAACGGUGAGCUGCUUGGCAGAGAAUCACACGGUUGCCACCCAUUCAAGGCGGGGGCACCCCAGUCUCCAACUCAGGGGUCACUGAUGUGCUCAGGGACAAGAAAACCAUCAGACAAUGUCGGAGAGAGGGGCUUUUUCCUUCGGUGCUUACAAAUAAACAAAAGUCCUCACAGGAAAAGGAGGAUAAAGGC